UCACACAAUUUAUGCAUACACUUCAAAGCAACAUAUAGGCCUCAUCAAAAACCUUAAACUUCAUUUAAGAAACAUGACAACCAUAUAUAUACAGGUUGUGCCACAAAAGGAGCACAUAUAUGUUUCUAGGUGUGCCACACAAUAAAAAAUGAAGUGGUGCCACAAAGGGAGGAGUACAUAUGUUUCUAGGUGCGUCACCCAACCAAAAAGAGCAUACAGUGGCUUAUGUGCCAAAACAACCACCAAAAUGAGCAGCACGUGCCAAUGUCACCAGGUUCAACAAACAAGGUACAUUACAUAACCACUCCACCAACUUAAUUGUAGGUCUUGCAAACAUUCAACAGCUUGUAGGUGAUCCAAGCCUUAACUUGUAGAUCAUCCAAACCUUCAGAAGCUUGUAGAUCACCCAACUUAAUUGUAGGUCUUGCAAACAUUCAACGGCUUGUAGGUGAUCCAAGCCUUAACUUGUAGAUCAUCCAAACCUUCAGAAGCUUGUAGAUCACCCAGUGUAUCUUUGGGAAACCUGCACAGACCAGAAAUUCAAAACAGAGCUCUCAUAGCACAAUAAAGCUGUUGUAACAUAAACAUGCUACUAGUACUUGAAGGACAAGAUAGCCCAAUAAAAAUGUAAUCUUUACAUCAUAUAAGGGCAAGUGUUCUAAGGCCUUGUUUAUUUCCCUUGCUAUUGGGCAUUGGCGGAAGCAACGAACGCAAUGAACCUAUUCAGUACGUGGAGUCUAAAUCAAGGCUGAUGUUGUACAAAGCUCAUUCAUUGGAGAUGAAAAGGAUUUGAAUCAGACUGAUGUACAGUUGUACACAACGCGUUUCAUUCUAGUAAUAGUAACAAAUCAGAUAUUUCUGUCGUUCCAAACUUGUUUAUAGUAACCUGAAGGUUGAGGUUAUGACCUACCCAUUAAGAAAAGCACCCAACUUGUUGGGCAUAAAAAUAAGCCACCAACAAUAAAAGCGCUCGUUCAAAUAAUGUGCUUGUAAUUAACAGGAUAAAAUGUUUGCCAUGGUCACCUUUGGCAAAAUUGCUAUUGGAUUAAAAUGGAUGUAAGCUAUUUCAUUUCUCCUCCGUAUUCUCAUUUCACCUGAUUUUGUUGUUUACUAAAAUGACCUAAAAUGGAUGCAGACUAAAAUGGACUAAAAUGGAUGCAGAUUAAAAUGUAAGUAGCUAGCUAGCUGGGAUGCUUGCUACAAGUACGUAUUAAUCAUCUCUUUUUUUAAGUGAUGCAUGCAGCCUCAUCUUAACAACCAUGUACUCCCUCCGUUCCUAAAUAUUUGUCUUUUUAGAGAUUUCAAAUGGACUAUAACAUACGGAUGUAUAUAGACAUAUUUUAAAGUGUAGAUUCACUUAUUUUGCUCUGUAUGUAGUCACUUGUUGAAAUCUCUAGAAAGACAAAUAUUUAGGAACGGAGGGAGUACGUACUAAUCUAGUAGCUCCAGCAUGUACGUGAUACUACUAGUACACACAUGUUGUUUUUUAAGUGUGUGGUUAAUUUUCUUUACCACCUCACAGGAAACAUCAAAUUGUUUUGGUUUCUUAGGGAGUUGCACGUGCAAGUAUUCUAUACGGCACAUGAAUACGGGUUCACAAGACCCAAGGGCUCAACAGAGUACAAGAAGUUCAGGUUGGAUAUAUGCCUUACAAAGUGUAUUCUCUGCAUUCACAGAAAAAAGUGUAUUCCCUGCCUCCAUUCAAACUUCUCCUCCGAGCAUGUUGUAGCCUUUGCUUAGCUGCUAGUGACUACUUGUCAUGUCAUAAUACAUGGAACAUAUAAGAAUCAGUGCUUCAUGUUAUUCUUAUGAAAUAGUAACUUAUAUUGAGUAAAAACUAGAUUGGAGAUAAAGGAACCGUAGAAAACCAACAUAUUAUACUACCUCCGUCUCAUAAUGUAAGACGUUUUUUGACAAUACUUACAUUAUGGGACAGAGGGAGUACCAUUUAAACUCUAGAAGAGUGGUCCACUUUCAGUCUGUCUUGCAGCAAAAUGAAAGGAGGCGUAAACAAGUUCUCUAGCUAGUUGUUUUCUUCCAUGUAGUAGUAUAUGUGUGUGAUGACAGUUGAACUAGAUGAUCUCACAUCGAUCAACCAAUGGGGAUAAACAGCACAAUACAAAUACCUUUUUGUCCAUGUAGUACUCCUAAAGUGUUUUACUGAUUUAGUAUUAAGUUGUAGCAUCCACUUGUUUAGCACCGAAAGAUUAUUGAACGUCCUAUACUAAUAAGGCUUACUAGAACAUGUUGCAGUCAUUUAGAAGUAUCCACUGCCAUGGUGCAUAGAUCAUUUUAGAAGUUUUGACUGACAGAGAACAUAUCUAGAGGCCUUUAUGUACAAUCUAAACUAAAACUGCAAACAUUCCAUGCUGCUUCCUACCAAGAUGUCUGAAGAUUAAAACGAUAAAAUGUUUUGAAGAACUAUUCUUGCUUGAUUAAAUGGAGAAACAUUUUAAGUAGUAAGUGCCAUGAGUGUGGCAAAUCAUGAGCAUUAUGAAUUCCUGGAACAAACCUACCACUGCUAGAACCAGUCCCCAAUCCUUUCACUGAUAGCACCUGCAACAAUUUGGAAGCAAAAUACAGAGGCAGCAAUGAGAAAGACUUGGAGCCCAGUAGUAAUUCGGUGGAAGGGAGGGAAAAUCUACAGCAAUGAGAAGAUAAAUCGGCAAUAUCUCGUGAGUUCUCAUCCAUCAGAAAAGAAGAGUUUCACAACCUUUGUAAGGAAAAGCAUACCUGCAUCGCGUUUCACCAUGACAGAUCUGAGCAACAUGUUGUACUAGCGUAGUGGGGAGCAGGCACCGCGGUCGCCGUCGGUGUGGUAAGAGACAUGGUGGGGAGCCCGAUAGCGCUCGUCCGCGUGGAGGGUCGCGGAGAAGAGCAGCGCGAUGGCGUGGGGUGGCACGGCUAACUUGAGACAAGAGGCCCGGAGUUCGUCGCCGGAUCUCGUGCUGGGGAUCAAGGCGACGUCGACCUCAACGCACAGGCGCCGUCGACCUGUCCUAGGGUGGUGCCGCAGGGAGCGAGACGACGUUGACCACGUACACCAGAUCCGUGUGGACGGAGGCGAGGCCGAUCUCGACGCACCGGCGGCAUCGAUCUCAGUGGGGGUCACCAGGUCGGCGGAGGGGGUCGGCGGUGGAGGGCGCUGUCGAGGACAGAGGGGCUCUUGUCGGCGGCUGCGGUGGCGGCGGCGGAGGAGGAGGAGGAUGGGUCUGGACUCUAGAGGGUUCGAUUUGGGCAAGCAUUGGGCGGCGGCUAUAACUAUUU
rnacentral:lncRNA from 1 species